UACGUAGGGGGCAAGCGUUAUCCGGAAUCACUGGGCGUAAAGGGUGCGUAGGCGGCCAAUCAAGUCUGGGGUGAAAGGCUACGGCUUAACCGUAGUAAGCCUUGGAAACUGGUUGGCUUGAGUGCAGGAGAGGAGAGUGGAAUUCCUAGUGUAGCGGUGAAAUGCGUAGAUAUUAGGAGGAACACCAGUGGCGAAGGCGACUCUCUGGACUGUAACUGACGCUGAGGCACGAAAGCGUGGGGAGCAAACAGG
rnacentral:rRNA from 1 species